rnacentral:rRNA from 1 species
UACGGAGGGUGCAAGCGUUAUCCGGAUUCACUGGGUUUAAAGGGUGCGUAGGCGGGUUUGUAAGUCAGUGGUGAAAUCCCGGAGCUUAACUUCGGAACUGCCGUUGAUACUACAGGUCUUGAAUACUGGGGAGGUGAGCGGAAUAUGUCAUGUAGCGGUGAAAUGCUUAGAUAUGACAUAGAACACCGAUUGCGAAGGCAGCUCACUACACAGUUUAUUGACGCUGAGGCACGAAAGCGUGGGGAUCAAACAGGAUUAGAUACCCUGGUAGUCCACGCCCUAAACGAUGGAUACUCGACGUGUGUGAUAUGACAACAUGCGUCUGAGCGAAAGCAUUAAGUAUCCCACCUGGGAAGUACGACCGCAAGGUUGAA